rnacentral:rRNA from 1 species
AGUGAACGCUGGCGGUAGGCCUAACACAUGCAAGUCGAACGGCAGCACAGUAAGAGCUUGCUCUUACGGGUGGCGAGUGGCGGACGGGUGAGGAAUACAUCGGAAUCUACUUUUUCGUGGGGGAUAACGUAGGGAAACUUACGCUAAUACCGCAUACGACCUACGGGUGAAAGCAGGGGAUCUUCGGACCUUGCGCGACUGAAUGAGCCGAUGUCGGAUUAGCUAGUUGGCGGGGUAAAGGCCCACCAAGGCGACGAUCCGUAGCUGGUCUGAGAGGAUGAUCAGCCACACUGGAACUGAGACACGGUCCUGACUCCUACGGGAGGCAGCAGUGGGGAAUAUUGGACAAUGGGCGCAAGCCUGAUCCAGCCAUACCGCGUGGGUGAAGAAGGCCUUCGGGUUGUAAAGCCCUUUUGUUGGGAAAGAAAAGCAGCAGGUUAAUACCCCGCUGUUCUGACGGUACCCAAAGAAUAAGCACCGGCUAACUUCGUG